GCAGCCAGGUUGGAUAUAAAAACCAAACACGUGGGCCUUGCUCUCUCUCUGGCUCGCGAUUGCUCGCCUCCUGGCUUCACCGCUCCUGGCUGGCGGCCAGCUCUCAGAGCGCCAUUUUGGGAUUCCUGAUCGGCGGAUCGGAUUAGAAGAAGCAGCAGACACUUCAACUAAUGUCAAUUGAAGAGACCCCGAAAAGAUGAGAAGGAAAGACUGGACCUGUGUUGGUGAGCCUGUUCUUCAAGGGAGAAAUGCUUCUGAGAUCCUCAGCGCACAGUGACUGGCUCCAUCAUGGCUACUUUCAAAGACUGCCUCCUUGUUCGAUUUUGGAUGACUUUCUUCCUCAAGACCCAAGUGACCGAAUUCAUUAUUGAUGGCCUGGCCAGCAUAUUGCUCACAUUCUUCCAGAUUAAGUGGGAUUUAACUGUGAUCAUUCAGGAUUUCCAGCAUCUGACCACAUUUGUGGAAGUGAUUUCCAUCCUUUCACCUUCACUCUGGAGGAACAGGAAGGAGGACAGAGGGAAUACACAAGACACAGACUGAUGGUGUCAUCUAUGGGAGCAUGGGCCUGAGAUCUGUACCAGAAAGUACAAAUCAGCAACAGGAGGAUCGGAGACUUUUCCAUUUAUUGUUCAUACUUCCCAUCUCCAGAGCUGAGUGUUCUGAUGACUGUCAGAUAUCCGAUGUUAAGGAGUGACUUUUUUAAAGUAACCAGGUAUAUAAAUGGCCAACAAGCACAUGAAAAAAUGUUCAUCAUCACCAUCAGGGAAAUGUAAAUCAAAAUCACAGUGAGAUACCACUUCACACCUGCAAGAUGGCCCAUAUAAAAAAGAACAGAAACACCUAGUAUUACAGAGGAUAUGGGAGAAAAGGAACCCUCCUGUGCUGUUGGUGGGAAUGAAAACUGUUCCAAACCUUAUGGAAAUGGUAUGGAAGUGUCUCAAAAUAUUAGAAAUAGGUCUACCAUAUGAGCCAUCAAUUCCACUCCUUGGUGUCUACCCCAAAAUGGAAAGGAAAAAAAAAAAAAAAACUCCAGCUAAUUCAAAGGGAUAUCUGCUCUCUUAUCUUCUCUGCAGCACUAUUUAUAAUAACCAAGUUAUGGAAACAAGGUUUUACUGUUUUUAAUGUGUGUGGCACUUAAAAAGAAUUCAAAAAUUGCAAGUCACAUCUUUAUUCAUUACUACUGUUACCAAGAUGUGCUUCUCCUUAGUACAGUGUUUAUCACCAUCCAAACUCUCAUUACUCAAAUCCUUACCAAAACAAAACAAAAACAAAAACAAAACCCAGAAACACAAAACCAUGUAUUUGCCAGCAAAAUAGAUUAAAUCACCUAUGACUACAGGUGAAAGGGCAGGUAUGAUGUGUUGCUGUAAUCCAGCUGUUCUAAUAAAAUCGUAUUUCAUUAUUUUGACAUCCUGUGCAU